rnacentral:rRNA from 1 species
GACGAACGCUGGCGGCGUGCUUAACACAUGCAAGUCGAACGGAAAGGCCCUGCUUUUGUGGGUGGCUCGAGUGGCGAACGGGUGAGUAACACGUGAGUAACCUGCCCUUGACUUUGGGAUAACUUCAGGAAACUGGGGCUAAUACCGGAUAGGAGCUCCUGCUGCAUGGUGGGGGUUGGAAAGUUUCGGCGGUUGGGGAUGGACUCGCGGCUUAUCAGCUUGUUGGUGGGGUAGUGGCUUACCAAGGCUUUGACGGGUAGCCGGCCUGAGAGGGUGACCGGCCACAUUGGGACUGAGAUACGGCCCAGACUCCUACGGGAGGCAGCAGUGGGGAAUAUUGCACAAGGGGCGGAAGCCUGAUGCAGCAACGCCGCGUGUGGGAUGACGGCCUUCGGGUUGUAAACCGCUUUCGCCUGUGACGAAGCGUGAGUGAGGGUAAUGGGUAAAGAAGCACCGGCUAGCUACGUG